ACGGGAGACACACGGCGGGUGCUAACGUCCGUCGUGAAGAGGGAAACAACCCAGACCGCCAGCUAAGGUCCCAAAGUCAUGGUUAAGUGGGAAACGAUGUGGGAAGGCCCAGACAGCCAGGAUGUUGGCUUAGAAGCAGCCAUCAUUUAAAGAAAGCGUAAUAGCUCACUGGUCGAGUCGGCCUGCGCGGAAGAUGUAACGGGGCUAAACCAUGCACCGAAGCUGCGGCAGCGACGCUUAUGCGUUGUUGGGUAGGGGAGCGUUCUGUAAGCCUGCGAAGGUGUGCUGUGAGGCAUGCUGGAGGUAUCAGAAGUGCGAAUGCUGACAUAAGUAACGAUAAAGCGGGUGAAAAGCCCGCUCGCCGGAAGACCAAGGGUUCCUGUCCAACGUUAAUCGGGGCAGGGUGAGUCGACCCCUAAGGCGAGGCCGAAAGGCGUAGUCGAUGGGAAACAGGUUAAUAUUCCUGUACUUGGUGUUACUGCGAAGGGGGGACGGAGAAGGCUAUGUUGGCCGGGCGACGGUUGUCCCGGUUUAAGCGUGUAGGCUGGUUUUCCAGGCAAAUCCGGAAAAUCAAGGCUGAGGCGUGAUGA
rnacentral:rRNA from 1 species